rnacentral:rRNA from 1 species
UACGUAGGUGGCAAGCGUUAUCCGGAUUUAUUGGGCGUAAAGCGAGCGCAGGCGGUUUUCUAAGUCUGAUGUGAAAGCCUUCGGCUUAACCGGAGAAGGGCAUCGGAAACUGGAUAACUUGAGUGCAAGAGAGGACAGUGGAACUCCAUGUGUAGCGGUGGAAUGCGUAGAUAUAUGGAAGAACACCAGUGGCGAAGGCGGCUGUCUAGCUUGCAACUGACGCUGAGGCUCGAAAGCAUGGGUAGCGAACAGG